AUGCUUCGCAUUGCACAAAUCUCACAACAUUUCAGAGUAUAGAAUUUGAAACUGGUGCGCCGGGCCCCAGUAGAGGGUCUACGCGCCUUCCGUCGUUAUAUUGUUUUGUUGUGCAAAAUUUUGAUUACGUUUCGAGUAUAGCUCUCAAGUUAAAAACCGAAUUUUCGACAACAAGGGUACUAAUAGAAAUGCCGCAUGAGAGGAAAAGGAAGCGUACUCGAUCUCGAUCAAGGGAUCGUAGAAGAAGUAGGGACGAGACGAAAGAAAAGCUGGAAAACCUCCAGACUCAGCUGAAUAACCUCACUAGCAUACUCGGUCAAUUGACCCAACGCCCUGAUAUUACUGAAAACAAAGAAAUCCUGGAUAGUCAAACUGUUUCCUCAGUAGAGCAGAUUCCAUCUGAGCACAUAGAAAAUUCAUCUGUUGAUGAGAUAACUGAUGAGUCGGUCAUUCCCGAGGAUAUAUUGGAUUUAUUGGGGGACGAUCCCAAUGCAAAUAAAGAAUUGACAAUCAAGUUCCAUCCAGAGCUCAAACGCAGAUGGGAGAAAUGGAUGCAGGAAGGUUUUCCGGAGGAAAACAAGAAAGCUAUCCUACAAAAGUAUCCAAGGAAACAAGAAUUAUAUUCUGAGGCUCCCAAGGUUAAUUUGGAAAUCGUUCCAAUUUUGUCCGAGAUUACUAUUAAAAGAGACCAUCAUUUUCUUGAGACACAAAACUGUGUAGAUUCUGCAAUAUCAGCUCUGGCUGCUGCAGUUUCAUUAAUUCUCGAUGAUCCCGAUGACGGCAUUGAUCAGGGAAUGCUCACAAAAUAUCUUUGUGAUGCUGGAAAGUUAUUGUCUGACGUUUUUUAUCAGCAAUCUGUGGCCAGAAAAUCUUUUAUCACUCCUUUGCUAAAUAAGGGCGUUAAACCCACAAUUGAGGCUACUACAUCGGAUGAAUGGCUGUAUGGAAACAAAUUUGCCGAACAGGUUAAAGAAGUUCAGGCAAUCGGAAAGGCGUGUGCAAAAAUCAGAGCCCAAGAUAAACCAAAAGUAUCGACAUAUAAAUCACGAAAUCAGGGAAACUUGAAAUACCCACCUGCCAGGUACAGGCAGGUGGGGACGUAUCCGAGACGAUCAACAAUCAAAUUCAAGCCACGGAGCCAAAGAACAAGCCAAGGUGCAUCAAAACCCUCGAGUCGAACGUCAAGCCAAUCGACGUCGACGAAGAAGUAAAGGAGGAUAUAAGAUUCCUUUCAGAGAAACUCCUCGCCAAGACAAAUCAUCUAAGGAUUUUGUCUGGUCAGAAUCAGAUCAGACGAUGGUCACACCCGCUGGCGUCAAAACUUUCAUUGGUGGUAGGGAACUUAUCCGGAUGGCGUUCCUGAAGAAAGGAAUCAAUGAAGACUCAGUGGAUAUUAUGAUUAACUCCAUAACAGUUUCGACACUCAAACAAUAUCAAGCUCAUCUAAAAUUAUGGUGGGACUUUGCAUCGGUAAACAGCAUUAAUAUGUUUCAAGCAGAUACGCCCGCGAUUAUAAGUUUUUUAACAAAAAGAUUCAAAGAAGGCGCUAGCUAUGGUACACUAAAUUCAACAAGAUCGGCUAUCUCUCUUAUCUCCUUACGUGAUAUCUCUAGUGAUGUUCUAAUAUCACGGUUUUUUAAAGGGAUUUUCAAACAAAAACCUACAAAACCCAAGUACUCUAGCAUCUGGGACACUGCACCGGUACUUAACUAUUUAGAAAAUAUUAAUCCUUUGAACCAAUUUAAGGCCAAAGAAGUAGCAGAAAAGACUGCGACACUUUUAGCAUUAGCUACCGCACAUAGACUUCAAACAUUAGCUUUAAUAAAGACAGAUAAUAUUUUGAUUUCAAGUACUGGUAUUACUAUU